ACUCCUACGGGAGGCAGCAGUGGGGAAUAUUGCGCAAUGGUCGAAAGCCUGACGCAGCGACGCCGCGUGAGGGACGAAGGUCUUCGGAUUGUAAACCUCUUUCAGCAGGGAUGAAGCGAAAGUGACAGUACCUGCAGAAGAAGCACCGGCUAACUACGUGCCAGCAGCCGCGGUAAU
rnacentral:rRNA from 1 species